UGCUAUACAUAAACACAAAUUGGAUGUCCAGGUUUAUUGGUCGAUGAUAAGACAAUUUGACCAUCAAAUGUGUGCCUAGAGAGUUAAAACAUACCUAUAGAUACUAUGGCGACGAGUGACUCGAUACGUCUCCAAGAUAAGCCUCAGAAAAUCACUAACUUCAAAACAUUGAUCGCCUUUGUAGUUUGUAUGGCAGCAUACGUUUGCGUGGCACUGUAUACAUUCAUGACUGGUAAUGUAAUGAAA